GUACCUAACAAAAAGCACGUAUACUAAAAUUAGAACGAUACAGAGAUUAGCAUGGCCUCUGCACGAGGAUGACAUGCAAAUUCAUGAAGCAUUCCAUAUUUUA
ensembl:snRNA U6 U6 spliceosomal RNA